rnacentral:rRNA from 1 species
GAUGAACGCUGGCGGCGUGCCUAAUACAUGCAAGUCGAGCGAACGGACGAGAAGCUUGCUUCUCUGAUGUUAGCGGCGGACGGGUGAGUAACACGUGGAUAACCUACCUAUAAGACUGGGAUAACUUCGGGAAACCGGAGCUAAUACCGGAUAAUAUUUUGAACCGCAUGGUUCAAAAGUGAAAGACGGUCUUGCUGUCACGUAUAGAUGGAUCCGCGCUGCAUUAGCUAGUUGGUAAGGUAACGGCUUACCAAGGCAACGAUGCAUAGCCGACCUGAGAGGGUGAUCGGCCACACUGGAACUGAGACACGGUCCAGACUCCUACGGGAGGCAGCAGUAGGGAAUCUUCCGCAAUGGGCGAAAGCCUGACGGAGCAACGCCGCGUGAGUGAUGAAGGUCUUCGGAUCGUAAAACUCUGUUAUUAGGGAAGAACAGAUGUGUAAGUAACUGUGCACAUCUUGACGGUACCUAAUCAGAAAGCCACGGCUAACUACGUG